CUCAGACAUGUGAUUUCUUCAAUUGGGGAAGAACAUUUAGUCUAAAACUAAUAUAGGAUAUAAAUAUCUACAUGAAAACAUUUCCUCCCCUUGAUUCAUUUUCUUUUUCAGAAAGAUGUUGCAUAUCACCUAUGGGAAAUUUAAUUUAAUGUGUGUAAAGCUACAUUUGUGGUUUUCCACAAAUAAAUUGUAAUAGGAAAAGCUAUUAACAUUUCAGGUGGAAAGCAAUGAAGGAAGUGAAAGAUUGCACCCAAAACAUGCAAAUUUACUGAGCAGGAAAAACUGCCAGUAAGAAAUAUGUGGCUGAUAAGACACAGUGAACAAGGGCCAUUGUAUCUCUAGUGCUCAUAACUAUAUAGAAACAUUUAUAUUUUCCCUGAAGAGAUUUAUAUUUUAAAAAAUUGCUGCAGGAAAAUAUUCUCACUGUGAAAAUUAUGAAAUGUCUUCAGUCAUAUCAGUGAAAAGUACUAUGAUAUUUCUUUUUAAAACCUUGGUCUUGAAAUAAAAUCCCUGAGCACACAUUUCCUCUUGCAACUAUGACUUGCAGGGGCCACACAAUACAAUGGUUAUCAGUGCUACUCAUUAUUGCAAUGCUUCAUGGGGCAAAGAACAUUGAAACAUAUGAUUAAUGUCACACUGGCAAAAACAAAGCAGGCACAAAUUCUUGAGUUCAUUCGCUUUAUCUUGAAUGUUAUAAACAUGGUUGAAACUUUUUUUAGGCUCCAUUGAUGCUGUAAGUCAGGCAACGGGUCCCUCUAGUGGCAUCUAUAGAAAUAAGCUCUUUUAUACAGAGAGAAAUGCUAGAGCAGUGUGACCUGCCCAAGAUCACCCAGUAGGUUUCUGUGCCGGAAUGAGAAUUCAAAGCCAGAUCUCACCCAAGACUCAAAUCACUACACCAUGCUGGCAAAGCACCUUGUGUACAAAAUGCUGGGCUAGAUAGCAUUUUAGUUUGAUUUAGUGUCUCUUAAUUUUUAUCUUCAUUUGGAUGUUUGGCUUAGAAAAUAGUUAAUGGCCUACUGAGGAGACAAAAUGGGAUAUACUGUAUAGAAGUAUGUACAGUGUAAAAAAGGCAGUUGGGUACUCUUCUCCUUCAUAAUAUUGGAUUUCAGGUUUAUGCAGUAAAACUGAAUGGUGGCAGAUAAAGAGAAGUACUUAAUACAUUGUGUAGUUAAAACUACAAUUCAAUACCAUGAGAUGUAGCAAUUGCUGAUAAGUGAGACGACUUUAAAAGGGAUUUUAAAAGAUGCCUUUUGUAAUUCUACAUAAUCCAUUUUUAUUCUCUAUAAGAUCUCUGUACAUUGGUGUUAUCAGCAUAUUUAUCUACCUCAGUCCUAGCUCCAGAUCACUUAUCAAUGAGAUAGAUAGACAGAUAGAUAGAUAGAUAGAUAGAUAGAUAGAUAGAUAGAUAGAUAGAUAGAUAUGCAUUCAAACAAACAUCUUUGGGAUCUUUGUGAAAAACGAUAAUUUAUUCUGCAUUUUGUUCUAAAAUAAACAACACAUGUUUAUUUAAUUAACAAGUAUUGUGGAACUAUGAAGCUCACUCAUUCUAUGGCAAAAAAAGUAAGAGUACCAGAUAGCAUGUGCUAUAUUUCUUCAAUUAUAAGGCACACUUUUUUCCCUAUAUAAUAUAAAUAUCUCUAAAAAUAGGGUGGAUCUUAGAUUCGCAGGUAUCUCUUAUGUAUUUUUGUUGGUGGUGGUGGUACAACUGAAAUAAGGGUAUGUCUUACAAUCACUGAUUUUUUCCCCAUGCCAGAAACUUCAGAAACUGCAAGUCGCUUCUGUUGUGAGAGAAUUGGCUGUCUGCAAGGACGUUGCCCAGGGGACAUCCAGAUGAUUGAUGUUUUUACCAUCCUUGUGGGAGGCUUCUCUCAUGUCCUCGUAUGGGGAGCUGGAGUUGACAGAAAAAGCUCAUCUGUGCUCUUCCCAGAUUCAAACCAGCAACCUUCAGCUUCCUGACAUCUGCUAUUCACGUCAUAAUUUCAGAGAUGGCACGUAAGAGCUCUGUUCUACCACACAUGGAGCUUCUCAGGAAGAGGUAGAAGCAAGCUCUCCAUGCAACUGGACCUGAAAGCUUUGGGUGUGUUUAUGUGCGAGGGAGGUGUGAAUAUGUGUGUGCGUGUGUGUUUCAAGAAUAUGCACAGAAGAUAUUGCUGUAACAAAACAACUUUGGUUGGCAAAGUUCUUGGAGAGAAGGCAUAAACAGAUGCCAAAAGCAAAGGCAGUUUAAGGAGACAAGGGAGAUGUGUGUAAUUGGAAGAGGAAUUUAUCCUGAAGUGCCUUUGCCUGCCCUCUAAUGUUUGAAGCCUACAAACAAAUACUGAGAACAGAAAGUUCAAACACGCUUAAAUGAAUCGUGUAAACCCUUGUCAUGAUCACCUUCCACUUGAAAAUGUAUGUCCUCAUUGUAACAGGCCAAAAUCGUGUUUUACAGUCACUUACAGACCCACUGCCAAUAAUCUACCUUUGGAAAACAAUUAUCCUGGGCCACAAGGGGUUGCCUAUGAUGAUGAUGAUGAUGAUGAUGAUGAUGAUCAAUCACAACUCCAGAAUUAUCCAAACAGCUGUUGUAAUUAUCAUGUACUGCAUUUUACUUCCUGGGAGUCGUGUUUUUGCAGAAUUUAUAUAUCAUCAGACAUAAAAUGAAGGCAUUCAACAAUUUUGAGAACUCAAGACAAAUGUUUAUACACAGGUACAAAUUAUUUCCCUACAAACAAAAACAAAAAAGGGUUGUUGUAUGUCUUUCGGGCUGUGUGGCCAUGUUCCAGAAGCAUUCUCUCCUGACGUUUCGCCCACAUCUAUGGCAGGCAACCUCUGAGGAUGCCUGCCAUAGAUGUGGGCGAAACGUCAGGAGAGAAUGCUUCUGGAACAUGGCCACACAGCCCGAAAGACAUACAACAACCCUGUGAUCCCGGCCAUGAAAGCCUUCGACAACACAAAAACAAAAAAAAUGGAUCAAUAAACUGUUCCAAUAAAUCUGCUGCAUUCUGUCAUGGUCUACAAUCAGGAGGAUGGUUGCUAAGAGAUACUGAAAUUCUUAGUGGGUUCACGAAGUAAUGUACAAUAGACACAUAGAAGUAAAGUGCAAUAGACACUACUGCUAACUCUAGCUCCAACAUCAGUGUUAACUGUAAUACGAAACCUGUGUAUGUUGGAAUUCUAAUAGGGACUAGAAAUUAUUUCAAAAUACACUUAAUGUACUUUUAAAAAUACUACUACAUGAAUGUAGAAUUCAUACACAUUGUCAUGAACACGCAAAUGAACAUUGAAAGAUCCCUUUGUACAAAAAAUAUUGAAUACAUUAAAAAGCUUAUGCCAUAAUAUUGUUUUUCAUCUUUAUGGUUUUUGGUGCAACCGACUACUCCUCUGAAAAAAAAAGAUUGAGUAAAUUUAAUGUUUAUUUUAAUUUGUAAACUAUUUACAAAUGCUGGAAAAAUGCAAUGAGAUUUUUUGAAAACUUAGAAGGUGUGAAAAAAAAUUGAACAGUCUGAACAUAUACAAA